CGGCCCAGAUCCCCAACCCCAGAGUGAGUGUCAGGGAGCGGAGAGCAUCGACCUCCCUCCCCAACGGCAGUGUGAGUCCCCGGGAGCCGAAGGUGUUGUCCUUCCUCCCCAGCGGCAGUGUGAGUUCCAGAGAGCCGAAGGUGUCGUCCUUCCUCCCCAGCGGCAGUGUGAGUUCAAGGGAGCCGAAGGUGCCGUCCUUCCUCCCCAGCAGCAGUGUGAGUUCCAGGGAGCCAAAGGUGCCGUCCUUCCUCCCCAGCAGCAGUGUGAGUUCCAGGGAGCCAAAGGUGCCGUCCUUCCUCAACAGCGGCAGUGUGAGUUCCAGGGAGCAAAAGGUGCUGUCCUUCCUCCCCAGCGGCAGUGUGAGUUCCAGGGAGCUGAAGGUGUCGUCCUUCCUCCCCUGCAGCAGUGUGAGUUCCAGUGGGCCGAAGGUGUCGUCCUUACCCCCAGCAGCAGUGUGUCCUACAGGGAGCAGAGACAGUUGGUCUCUCUCCCCAGCAGCAGGACAAUAUUACGGCAGUGGAGACAGUCGGUCUCCCUCUGCAACGGCAGCUUGUGUUUCAGGGAGAGGAGCACAGCACCAUCUCUCCCCAGUGGCAGAGUCUAUUACAGGAAGGGGAGACAGUCGGUCCCCCUCUCCAACAUCGGAGAGAGUAUC